GGAGAUUCACCUCAACAUACAUCAAGCAAGAUAGCAUCACAACUUUACAACUGCAAACAUCACCUCUAUCUCAGCCUGGCACCUUCUAUGUAAAAAAGGUUUAACUGAGUCUGUGCACAACUCUAAUCGCCACUGCCCUAGUACCAGGAUUACAGAUACUGCAUGGGUCAGCCAUGUGACAAACAACAGCAGCAACAACAACAACAACAACAAC